rfam:Schistosoma haematobium scaffold904_11, whole genome shotgun sequence.
AUCCAGCUGACGAGUCCCAAAUAGGAAGAAACGGGCGUCCUGGAU